rnacentral:rRNA from 1 species
GUCCUUGCCGUAAACGAUGUAUACUUGAUGGAGUUGGGCUCAACCCUGACUGUGUCGUAGCUAACGCGAUAAGUAUACCGCCUGAGGAGUACGCUCGCAAGGGUGAAACUCAAAAGAAUUGACGGGGGCCCGUACAAGCAGUGGAGCAUGUGGUUUAAUUCGAUGCAACGCGAAGAACCUUACCCAGGCUCGAAAUGCAAAGGCAAUCGGCAGAGAUGCCGAGUUCCGCAAGGACUUUUGUAUAGGUGCUGCAUGGCUGUCGU